GUAACAGUUAAUUGCAUUGUAUAAACUAUGGACUUGGAGUAGUAGUGUCUGUGUGGGGCUUCUGUGGAGGAUCUGGAUGGGCCUCUUUUUCUAGAGACUUUUUUCUACCUCCUGCAUCCCCUGCUGCAAAACGAGGACAAACACAGGAGGAUGCUUCCACCAGCAGAGUGUCAUCCGACCAACUGCCAUCACCUUUGGACCCUGAUGAGCAGGAGCUGGCAGCUGCUGCGGGAGGAGCCUCGUCCUGUGGAGGUUUCUGUGAAGUACAGGCACUGCUGCACAGAGCAGUACGCCACCUGCGGCAUUUUUCUCUCAUGGUCGGUCCCAGCUUGCGGGUCAGCCUGAAUGGUCUUGUACAGGCUGUACCACUGCCACAUCUCCAGGAAUGUGAAUGACCUGAAGCAGCCUUGCCCAUAAAUGGCCCUGCCCACAUUGAUCUCGAGGUGGCAGGAGACCUGUGGAAGCAGCUGCACAUACCGCAGCAGGAGAUCCUUCACCCAGUCGCCUUGGCUCGCUUUUCUGUCAGGAUGGCAGCAUUCUUUUAUGUGGAGAUCAAAGAGACUAAAAUAUCACAUAAAGAAAUUCGUUUAUGAAAAAACAAAUUAUGAAAAUUGAUUGUUUAGUGCAACAUACUUACUACUUAAUGUAGCCAACAUCGUUCUCCACCAGCCAUUUAAAACUUUGGCCGUUGUAUUUGCCAAAGUUUAGAUGUAGCUGGCCAAGGUACUGCACCUCUGAUGGUGUCGAGGUAACGGCCCAACAUCUCUUUUUGGCUGAAGACAAAUUGUAAUGACUUAAAUGACAAGCACAAAAAAUUAUAUGCUGCUGUGAAAACAUAGGGUGGAAACACAUCAACAGCUCAAGUGCCAAGAUAUUCCUCACACAGACCUUCCUCACAAGCCAUCCUUUUAUCCAGGACCGUGUUCUUCUCGAAGCAUGUGUUACGUGAAGCCAGUGACUUGGCUUUCUUAGACACCUUAAGAAGGCAUUGUUGCCUAUUUUGUGGCACCCUUGUGUCCACAAUCUGUAAAUUUGGCAACAGUGGGUCCAUGUUAAAUCUGUAGGAAACAGUCUGUUAUAAUCAUCAUAAUGAUACACACAGAGGGGAAAAAAAUAUUCUUAUCAUGACAAAUACAAGAGGUCAUGAUAAAGUUAGCAGUUAUACAGUGGGGGAUACCAAAGUGUGGUGAAAAUUUGAAAUAUAUUUAUUGAAAGAAAGAAAAAGGAACCCCACGGGUACAUUAUUUUACACAAGGUGAUCUAUAGACAUUUGGUCAUAGUGACAAUAACAAAUAAAAUCUAAGGCUAAAAUUAAAAAGAACUUUGAUCUGGGGUAAGUGCGCAUUACUGACAGGCCUUUCAAUGGAACGGUCAUUCAAGGGUAGCUGACGCUUUUCAUUCAGACAACUUACGGAAGAGCUAUCACCGUUAAGUUUGUAAUUCGUCAAUAAAAUAACAUAUUUCUCUUCUUUCUAACUUUGUAUGAAUAUUGUAAUACAUCAGUCUUACCACAAAUGCUGAAUGACAGAUCGUCACAGACAGGGCUGGAUUUACCUCAUAUUGAAACAGGCAAAGUAAUUUUUGGCCCCCCUGGUCUGCUGUUGGUCGGGAACCUCGUACCAAAACUGCUACUUAAGGGAGAAAAAAAAAAAAGGAGAAAAAAAAUUACACAAUCAAACACUGUUUUUAAAAGUUGAUAUUGGCUUUGCACAUGCAUUGUUCUGCUCAUGUGUACAUCGUCGGCCAAUACUGAGCCGGGGUUCUGACCUAAAACCUGCUUGUUUACUUUGUCAACAGCUUAGGAGACUGACAGGAAAGAAAUUGUUGAAUAUUUUUUUGUUUUUGCGCACAAAAUAUUCUCGUCGAUUCAUAAAAUUAAGGUUGAACCACUGUAAUCACAUGGACUAUUUUAACAAUGUCUUUACUACCUUUCUGGGCCUUGAAAUUUUAUGACAUUGCUGUGUAUAGGGAGAUCAGAAACCUCUCGGAUUUCAAAAAUAUCUUAAUUUGUGUUCCGAAGAUGAACAAAGGUCUUGCACGUUCGGAACGACAUGGGGGUGAGUAAUUAAUGCCAGAAAUGUCAUUUUUUGGUUAACUAACCCUUUAAGACAGUACUGACUCUGCAACAAAUACCAGACUAAAGGUUAUUUUAGUCUGGGGAAACUUUUUGAGCAGUGUUGCCGAGCGAUGUUGCUUGGGCACUUUCCCAUUGAGAAUGCGCAACAAAUUUAUAUCUAGAUACUUAUUAGAUCGAAAUUUGUUGCCCAUUCUCAAUGGGAAAGUGCCCAAGCAACAUCUGCAACACUGCUCAAAAAGUUGCCUCGUGUAUCAUCACCCAAGACACUCUUCUCCGCUCCUCAAAAACAUAAAGUAUUAGUCUUUAUAUAGUGUUUCUCGAGUAAAGAAAACGCCGAACUUUUCCAAAAAACAAACAAACAAACCGUUCUUUAUUUACCUUUGGGUUGCAGACAGAGAUGACCCAAGCUGCAUGCAACGCUUUCACUCGCGAUAGAGGCGAGGCGGGGUUAUGAAGUUUGACUGACAGUUUUAAGAGCCAGUAGAGUUACGAGGUUUAGUCACAAGCUCUUUUAAAACUUUUCAUUGGUUAAAUAUUUGCAAAACCCACAGACAGACGUAAAGGGUGACCAACAGUAAUGAUUCAUGAGGGGGAAGACAAAAUAUACGAGGUUUCUGCCUGACUGUGACAUUUUAAAUGUAUUAAUUUAUAAAGGAAUUGUCUUGAGUACUAGCAUUAGAGCGAAAUAAUGCAUUUUGUAAAACUGUAGUUAUUAUUAUUUCUCCUCAUUGUAAUUUUAGGCACGUGGCUAGAAUGCCUAUAAAUCCAGCCCUGGUCAGGGAUGAGCUUCUGGCAGGAGCGAUAGCCAAGCAGGCAAGCGUUAUGUCCAGUUGCGAGUCUAAUUACGAAUUAACUAAAAUCCGAUUGACGACGUGUCGUCUAAGGCUUUGAUCAUGUAACAUUAAAAUUAACUUGACACUCUCGUCAAGAGCCGCUCUGUUGUCGUAUAUUUGCAUAGCCACUUUGUAGCGCACGGUGCACCCGAUUGGUAGUCUACAGUCUACGGUCCAGAACUGUAGACAAUUCGGCCUUCCGAUUGGCCUGGAGUCUACGGUUAUUGUAUACACUGUAGACUCUCGACCAGUGAUUGGCCCCAACUGUCUACAGUCUACAGCGGGCACUGCACGUUGACGUUGCCCACGUAAUCUGUACUGCAUAAUUUCUGGUAGUGGGGGACUGCGUUCUGUAUUUUUAUUUUAUUUAUUUUUUAGUCUAUGGCUCUCCCUUGAUGUAUUGGUUAAAUAACAGAAUUGAAUGAGAUUAAAAAGCUUGGAGCUUCACAUGACAUGAAGAAUCGUUUCAACUCAACUUCAACUUUUUGAAGGAUGUUGACACAUUACAUUUGUUGUGCUUAUUUUAAUUAAAAUAAAAUAAAAAGUAAAUCAAAAAUAUUAUAUAUAUAUAUAUAUAUAUAUAUAUAUAUUAUAGCAAAUGCUUCAUUACAAAUGUGAAAUCUUUAUGAUAAAAUAAUUACUGUUUUAUUUAUUUAUUUAUUUAUUUAUUUUUGAGCCCAGUAUGAUUCUUUUUAGGUCUUCGUAAACUUUCAUAAUUGUGCUUGUAUUUUUGUCAUUCUGUGUUUUUAACACUAGAGGGUGCUGUAAGUAUAUUUACUUUCUCUCGUGGCAAGCUGACAUUUUUGAAUGUUCUCUGUAGAAGUAUAAUUCAUUCUGAAAAUGAUUUAACUCAGUCCAUAUUACCUAUGAAAGCAGAAGUGAUUAAUUAUUUUCCAUAAAUUGUAUAUAGUCAAGCAGCUCAGUUGUGUUUGUCCUGAAUAUUUGACAUUUGUACCCCUGGUUUCACAGACAAGGCUUAUGCCUGGUCCUAGACUAAAAU